rnacentral:rRNA from 1 species
UACGUUCACAUCUCGUUGAAACACCGGUUAUCGUACAAUAACCGAAGUUAAGCAACGUCGAGCCAGCUCAGUACCUAGAUGGGUGACUCGCUUGGGAAUACCAGGUGCUGUAAG